rnacentral:rRNA from 1 species
GUCUACAGCCAUGCCACCCUGAACACGCCCGAUCCCGUCUGAUCUCGCAAGCUAAGCAGCGGCAGGCCUGGUUAGUACUUGGAUGGGAGACCACCUAGGAAGGCCAGGUGCUGUAAGCA